rnacentral:rRNA from 1 species
UACGGAGGGGGCUAGCGUUGUUCGGAAUUACUGGGCGUAAAGGGUGCGUAGGCGGGUCUUUAAGUCAGGGGUGAAAUCCUGGAGCUCAACUCCAGAACUGCCUUUGAUACUGAGGAUCUUGAGUUCGGGAGAGGUGAGUGGAAUUCCGAGUGUAGAGGUGAAAUUCGUAGAUAUUCGGAAGAACACCAGUGGCGAAGGCGGCUCACUGGACUGGUAUUGACGCUGAGGUGCGAAAGCGUGGGGAGCAAACAGG